rnacentral:rRNA from 1 species
CCUACGGGUGGCAGCAGUGAGGAUUAUUGGUCAAUGGUCGGGAGACUGAACCAGCCAAGCCGCGUGAGGGAUGAAGGUACAGAGUAUCGUAAACCUCUUUUGUCAGGGAACAAAGGCGGGGACGCGUCCCUGGUUGAGUGUACCUGAAGAAAAAGCAUCGGCUAACUCCGUGCCAGCAGCCGCGGUAAUACGGAGGAUGCGAGCGUUAUCCGGAUUUAUUGGGUUUAAAGGGUGCGUAGGUGGUCUGUUAAGUAACCGGUAAAAGCUCGCGGCUCAACCCUGGCGCGCCGUUGAAACUGGCAGUCUCGAGUUGGAGAGAGGUAUGCGGAAUGCGCGGUGUAGCGGUGAAAUGCAUAGAUAUCGCGCAGAACUCCGAUUGCGAAGGCAGCAUGCCGGCUCCACACUGACGCUGAGGCACGAAAGCGUGGGUAUCGAACAGGAUUAGAUACCCCAGUAGUC